rnacentral:rRNA from 1 species
AGCGAACGCUGGCGGCAGGCUUAGCACAUGCAAGUCGAGCGGGCCCUUCGGGGUCAGCGGCGGACGGGUGAGUAACGCGUGGGAACGUGCCUUCUGGUUCGGAAUAACCCUGGGAAACUAGGGCUAAUACCGGAUACGCCCUUUUGGGGAAAGGUUUACUGCCGGAAGAUCGGCCCGCGUCUGAUUAGCUAGUUGGUGGGGUAACGGCCUACCAAGGCGACGAUCAGUAGCUGGUCUGAGAGGAUGAUCAGCCACACUGGGACUGAGACACGGCCCAGACUCCUACGGGAGGCAGCAGUGGGGAAUAUUGGACAAUGGGCGCAAGCCUGAUCCAGCCAUGCCGCGUGAGUGAUGAAGGCCUUAGGGUUGUAAAGCUCUUUUAUCCGGGACGAUAAUGACGGUACCGGAGGAAUAAGCCCCGGCUAACUUCGUG